UGGCUCAGAACGAACGCUGGCGGCGUGCUUAACACAUGCAAGUCGAACGAUGAAGCUGGAGCUUGCUCUAGCGGAUUAGUGGCGAACGGGUGAGUAACACGUGAGCAAUCUGCCCUUGACUCUGGGAUAACUGCGGGAAACUGUAGCUAAUACCGGAUACGACGCUUGGAGGCAUCUCCGGGCGUGGAAAGAAUUUCGGUCAAGGAUGAGCUCGCGGCCUAUCAGCUUGUUGGUGAGGUAAUGGCUCACCGAGAAUACAGACGGGUAUCCGGCCUGAGAGGGCGACCGG
rnacentral:rRNA from 1 species